UGCUAUCAUGAGUAAAUGAGUCAGAAACCCUGUCAUGAGAUAACAAAAAUAAAACAUAAGGGAAUACUCAACAUAUGAUGACCCAACAUGAUAUACAAACUUAUACAUGUGACAUAUGAGCCUAUAAGACCGACAUGACCAUUUGUAAACUCAAAACAUAGACCGACAAGGUCAUACAAGUAUCUAUAUACCUAACAUCUGUCAACAAGCCUCUAAGAGUACAUAAAAUCAUAAAGGUUAGGACAGGGCCCCACCAUACCAAUCAAUACAUAUCCAAAGCAUACUGACCAAAUAGGAAACUGCGGAGCAAAUGGAGUUCACCAACACCUCCGCUAAGCUGAUAGCCUACUAGGAGGACUGUCAACCUAUCACUUGGGACCUGCGGGCAUGAAACGCAGCAUCCCCAGGCAAAAGGGACGUCAGUAUGAAUAAAGUACCGAGUAUGUAAGAUAGGAAAACGUAAAUAAGAACAGUAAUAUAAAGAGAGAUAAAGAAGAUACAAUCUGUAACAUAUGAGUGCCUCUGAGGGCUACUGACAUAAAAUGCAUGAUACAUAUAUAUACAUAAACUUUUGAAAAUAUAUGCCUCUGUGGGCGUCAUCAUCAUCAUAUCAUACCCGGCCUCAAAGAGGGCUCGGUAAAAACGUACCCGGCCAUCAUAAGGCUCGGUAGAAUCGUACCCGACCACGUAGAGCUCAGUAAACCCAACUGAUCAGUGGUUUCACAAUAGGUGUCGUACCCGGUCGACUAUAGCGCAACUCGGUAGAUUAAAGUAGAUACAUAUAUAAUACAUGCUGGACUCAUAGAAUCACAUUCUAAACCUUUCGGAGUGACGUAAGGUCAUUGCACAUUCGAUUAACAUUAUGGACAUCCCUACCAUCAAUAUGAACUUUAGUAGGAUUUAAAAAUCAUACACACUUUCUUAGAAUAACUUUAUAAGGAAAGAACAACAUGGACAACAUUGGUUUCUAGGAGUAGAUCCGUUAUGAAUUAGCGUACCGUUUAUGUUCGUUUCACUUUAGAUCAUGCCAAUAGAAAGAAGUAAGUGCCUUAACAUACCUUAACCAUGGUGAGUCCUUAAUACCUCCCAAGAACCUCUUCAAAAAAACUCAACUCAAUAUACCAUUGCAUAAGGAGCUUCAAAAUCAGUAUUGAAUAAAGGCUAAGUCUACAACUUAAACUUGUAGCUCUUUUAUAUAAAUUCGAGCAACAUCUCCCCUGUAACAAGAGCCUCCUACAAUACCAUAUACCAAAAAUAAUUACUAGAGAAAUCCAACAACACAUAAUUAUCAAUAACAAGAUACCAUAAAAUAACAAGAAGUCAUAACUAUUUUACGACGAGCGACAAGCUCCAAUUGGAAUCUGUAUACCCCAUAUCACCCCUUAUAGACUUUUUACUUUAACUUAAUAGUAUCAUUAAUAUGAUAAUGAAGUCAGUCAUCAAUAAUUCCAGCCUUAUACCAUAUAUCCAUAACAAAGAAAACGAUCCACAACUCCAAUUAUUCUUAACUAGCAACUUUAUUCACUAGUUCAUGUCUAGUUCAUCCAUUUAACUUAACCAAUUCAAAGAUAACCUUAAGCACCUGUAGGAACAUAAUAUAAUUUCCUCAUACAGUAGAUUCAAGUCAAAAUCCAUGUUAUAAUUAGCUUACAACAACCCAAUACACCCCAAUCAAUUCAUAUCCAAAACGACGACUAUAGUGGUGUCAAACACAAUGACUAAUUCAUGAUUUUGCCAUUAUGUGGUGUUUCUCCACAUCAUUUGUCCUCCAAAACUCCAUUUAAUAUCAACAAAAGAGACAGACCAAAAGCUACAUGAAAUAGCCCAAAAAAGUCCAAUUACAAGUCAAAUAACUCGCACUCACAGCUUCCGAUCACCGUCCCGUGAGUUCUAACUAUUAUAAAAUGAAUUAAUCAACCUUUCUUAAUAUUUAAGAGCUUAAAACCAGAAAUUAAAAAUUUUAUUAACUAUUAAAUAUCUUCCAAAACUCAAACUAUAAAGAAAAAGAGAGGUGAUAUAGCGUUACUUACAUCGCUGGGAUCAUUUUGAUGUUAUCGCUACUUGAUUUCGUGCUCGGGGUGAUAAUAUUAUUGGAAAUACUUGUGGGGAGCUUGAGGGUGAGUUUAGGGGUGCUAUUUGGUCGAGG
rnacentral:lncRNA from 1 species